CAGGUCUGAAUGAGCAGAAAUAUUACUGCUUGCCUGAGAUAUUUGACUUAGCAAGGUCCUGGGCCUCAUUCGGCCUCCAGAACUUCUUGACAAUGGGCAACGGAGAAGGCUGUCAGGGGGAACCAGCCACCAUGUGGGGAGCAGCCCUGUGAAGAGGCCUCUGUGGGGGGAACUGGGACCUCAGGCCGACAGUCAGGUCAGUGAGCCUCCUUGGCCACGGAUGCUCCAGCCCCAGCCAAGCCUUCAGAUGACGGCAGCCCCAGAUGCGUCUCGGCAGCAUCUCGUGAGAAACCCUGCCCCGGGACCACUCAGCUCAACUGCCCCUGUAUUCCUGACUGCUUGAGAUAAUUCAUGUUUGUGGUGUUAAA